GACGAACGCUGGCGGCGUGCUUAACACAUGCAAGUCGAACGGACAGGCCCUGCUUUUGUGGGGUGCUCGAGUGGCGAACGGGUGAGUAACACGUGAGUAACCUGCCCUUGACUUUGGGAUAACUUCAGGAAAAUGGGGCUAAUACCGGAUUGGAGCUCCUGCUGCAUGGUGGGGGUUGGAAAGUUUCGGCGGUUGGGGAUGGACUCGCGGCUUAUCAGCUUGUUGGUGGGGUAGUGGCUUACCAAGGCUUUGACGGGUAGCCGGCCUGAGAGGGUGACCGGCCACAUUGGUACUGAGGUACGGCCCAGACUCGUACGGGAGGCAGCAGUGGGGAAUAUUGCACAAUGGGCGGAAGCCUGAUGCAGCAACGUCGCGUGCGGGAUGACGGCCUUCGGGUUGUAAACCGCUGUCGCCUGUGACGAGGCGUGAGUGACGGUAAUUGGUAAAGAAGCACCGGCUAACUACGUG
rnacentral:rRNA from 1 species